GUCAACCUGGCUCAAGAGAGGAUAUGAUUGGCACAUGGCCUCCAAUGUGGCCAAAUGUAGCCUGAUAAUCUAGAAGAGUUUGUCUGGGGUGCAGGUGCCUUGCAGUAACAGUCACAGAACAGAGCACCUGGAGCAGCAAUCAACAGGGUAGGCAAGGUCCCUGCCCUCAGGAAGAUGAUUUCUAUCUGAGAGUCAGAUGCUAUACAAGUAAUCAAA